rnacentral:rRNA from 1 species
CUGGAGGUAUCAGAAGUGCGAAUGCUGACAUAAGUAACGAUAAAGCGGGUGAAAAGCCCGCUCGCCGGAAGACCAAGGGUUCCUGUCCAACGUUAAUCGGGGCAGGGUGAGUCGACCCCUAAGGCGAGGCCGAAAGGCGUAGUCGAUGGGAAACAGGUUAAUAUUCCUGUACUUGGUGUUACUGCGAAGGGGGGACGGAGAAGGCUAUGUUGGCCGGGCGACGGUUGUCCCGGUUUAAGCGUGUAGGCUGGUUUUCCAGGCAAAUCCGGAAAAUCAAGGCUGAGGCGUGAUGACGAGGCACUACGGUGCUGAAGCAACAAAUGCCCUGCUUCCAGGAAAAGCCUCUAAGCAUCAGGUAACAUCAAAUCGUACCCCAAACCGACACAGGUGGUCAGGUAGAGAAUACCAAGGCGCUUGAGAGAACUCGGGUGAAGGAACUAGGCAAAAUGGUGCCGUAACUUCGGGAGAAGGCACGCUGAUAUGUAGGUGAAGUCCCUCGCGGAUGGAGCUGAAAUCAGUCGAAGAUACCAGCUGGCUGCAACUGUUUAUUAAAAACACAGCACUGUGCAAACACGAAAGUGGACGUAUACGGUGUGACGCCUGCCCGGUGCCGGAAGGUUAAUUGAUGGGGUCAGCGCAAGCGAAGCUCUUGAUCGAAGCCCCGGUAAACGGCGGCCGUAACUAUAACGGUCCUAAGGUAGCGAAAUUCCUUGUCGGGUAAGUUCCGACCUGCACGAAUGGCGUAAUGAUGGCCAGGCUGUCUCCACCCGAGACUCAGUGAAAUUGAACUCGCUGUGAAGAUGCAGUGUACCCGCGGCAAGACGGAAAGACCCCGUGAACCUUUACUAUAGCUUGACACUGAACAUUGAGCCUUGAUGUGUAGGAUAGGUGGGAGGCUUUGAAGUGUGGACGCCAGUCUGCAUGGAGCCGACCUUGAAAUACCACCCUUUAAUGUUUGAUGUUCUAACGUUGACCCGUGAUCCGGGUUGCGGACAGUGUCUGGUGGGUAGUUUGACUGGGGCGGUCUCCUCCUAAAGAGUAACGGAGGAGCACGAAGGUUGGCUAAUCCUGGUCGGACAUCAGGAGGUUAGUGCAAUGGCAUAAGCCAGCUUGACUGCGAGCGUGACGGCGCGAGCAGGUGCGAAAGCAGGUCAUAGUGAUCCGGUGGUUCUGAAUGGAAGGGCCAUCGCUCAACGGAUAAAAGGUACUCCGGGGAUAACAGGCUGAUACCGCCCAAGAGUUCAUAUCGACGGCGGUGUUUGGCACCUCGAUGUCGGCUCAUCACAUCCUGGGGCUGAAGUAGGUCCCAAGGGUAUGGCUGUUCGCCAUUUAAAGUGGUACGCGAGCUGGGUUUAGAACGUCGUGAGACAGUUCGGUCCCUAUCUGCCGUGGGCGCUGGAGAACUGAGGGGGGCUGCUCCUAGUACGAGAGGACCGGAGUGGACGCAUCACUGGUGUUCGGGUUGUCAUGCCAAUGGCACUGCCCGGUAGCUAAAUGCGGAAGAGAUAAGUGCUGAAAGCAUCUAAGCACGAAACUUGCC